rnacentral:rRNA from 1 species
AUUGAACGCUGGCGGGAUGCUUUACACAUGCAAGUCGAACGGCAGCGCGGACUUCGGUCUGGCGGCGAGUGGCGAACGGGUGAGUAAUGUAUCGGAACGUGCCCAGUAGCGGGGGAUAACUACGCGAAAGCGUAGCUAAUACCGCAUACGCCCUACGGGGGAACGCGGGGGAUCGUAAGACCUUGCACUAUUGGAGCGGCCGAUGUCGGAUUAGCUAGUUGGUGAGGUAACGGCUCACCAAGGCGACGAUCCGUAGCUGGUUUGAGAGGACGACCAGCCACACUGGAACUGAGACACGGCCCAGACUCCUACGGGAGGCAGCAGUGGGGAAUUUUGGACAAUGGGGGCAACCCUGAUCCAGCCAUCCCGCGUGUGCGAUGAAGGCCUUCGGGUUGUAAAGCACUUUUGGCAGGAAAGAAACGUCGCGGGCUAAUACCCCGUGGAACUGACGGUACCUGCAGAAUAAGCACCGGCUAACUACGUG